GACGAACGCUGGCGGCGUGCCUAAUACAUGCAAGUAGAACGCAGUUGCGAACGGGUGAGUAAUGUCUGGGAACUGCCAGAUGGAGGGGGAUAACUAAUGGAAACGAUAGCUAAUACCGCAUACUGUGAGAUGGACCUGCGUGGUAUUAGCUAGUUGGUGAGGUAAAGGGUCACCAAGGCGACGGUACAUAGCCGACCUGAGAGGGUGAUCGGCCACACUGGGACGGAGACACGGCCCAGACGCCUACGGGAGGCAGCAGUAGGGAAUCUUCGGCAAUGGACGGAAGGCUGACCGAGCAACACCGCGUGAGUGAAGAAGGUUUUCGGAUCGUAAAGCUCUGUUGUUAGAGAAGCGGUAACGAACCAGAAAGGGACGGCUAACUACGUGCCAGCAGCCGCGGUAAUUC
rnacentral:rRNA from 1 species